AAUAUGACCCGAUUGGCUCACCUCCUGCUUGCCAUCGGGCCCCGACACAUCCGCAGACAUCUGUCUGUUCUUCCUCUGGCGUUGCUGUACUUCAAACUUCUAGUUUCCAAAACACUUUGCUACAAUCACCUGAUGAGCUGCAUCGACUCCCAUUCCUCCCAAAAACGUAACGCUGAAGCUUCAGGGAGACGAAGUGACACAACAUUGAAGCGGUUCACACUUUUGCAGGUGUUUGUAAAGCAUCUGAUCUCAACAACUCACGAAGGAAAGCACCAGACAGACACAGAGCUCCUUCAAGAACUGCUCUAUUCAAGCUGCUCCAGAUGGAAACACCUGCUGAUGAUCGGCUGACGAGUGAAAGAUCCUUAAAUUCCUCCUUCACUUCAAAGUGAUUCUUCGCUCUGAGAUCCGCUGGCCUCAGGCGCCUUCCUCAGACGCUCCGAGGCCCUGAAAGAAACCAUUUAUUUGAUUUCCUGCAUGGCUCAACUCUGAAAAUAAAGAAACACCUGCUGAGAUUUCACAACCACUCAGACACUCGACCGUAACAGCUAUCAUCAUCAGAGCAGAGGGGUAACAGGAGAUGGUAGCAUGUUUCACAAGCGCUGACACCUUGGUGGAGACGUAAACAGAACGUACAGGUGCGCCUCAGUGAAUGUUCCUGAAAGGUCUUUUUAUCUUAAAUGUACAUGUACUUUAAAAAAGGUCCAACCAAGGACUGAGCCUGUAAAUUAGUCUGUGGCUACAAAACAUUUGCUUUGUUUUUAUCAUGUAACAUUUCUUGCUGUGCUGGGGUUGGUGAAAUAAACUUGUACUGAAUUGAAAGUAGAUUCAUUAAGCA